rnacentral:lncRNA from 1 species
CAUUUUCCAGGAAUGUGGAUGUGGUUCCCAGGCACUGGAUGCAGUGUACCUAAAGGUUUAUGCAGUAUCUUGUGAUGGAGGAUGCAGUGCCAAUUCAGCUGGAUGCAGUGUUACUGCAGUGGUUGCAGAGCCAACAACAGUGUCCUUUAACGUGGAUGCAGUGACCAUGCAGUGGAUGCAGUGUUCCACAAUGUGCAUGAAGUAUGAUGUGACAGGGGAUGCAGUGCCCAUGAAGGUGGAUGCAGUGAUCCUGCAGUGGUUGAAGUGCCCCCUGCAGUUUACCUGCAUGUGGAUGCAGUGGUCAUGCAGUUCAUUCAGUGUCCCUCAAGAUGGAUGCCUUAUGUUGUGAUGGAGGUUUCAGUGAUCAUGAAUGAUGAUGCAGUGAUCCUGCAGUCAUUGCAGUGGCCCUACAGUGCGACUUCUCCUGGCUGCCAUGUCCCUCCAGUGCUUGCAGUGCCCAGUUCUGUGUCCCUGAGUGUGGAUGUAGUGCCCAUGCAGUGGAUGCAGAGUACUAAAAGUUGGUUGCCGUAUGAUGUGACAGAGGAUGCAGUGCCCACGAGUUGGAUGCAGUGAGCUGGCAGUGAUUGCUGUACGACUUCAGUGCCACUUCAGCUGGAUGCCGUGUCCCUACAGUGGUUGUGAUGCUGCCUGCAUUGACCUGGAAUGUGGAUGCAGUGCUCAUGCAGUGGAUGCAGGUUUCCACAAUGAGGAGACAUUGUGGUGUGUUGUAGUAUGCAGUGACGAUGAAGGUGAAAGCAGUGAUCCUGGAGUGAAGGCAGUGCACCUGCUGUGGCACUUCAGCUGGAUGCAGUAUUGCUGCAGUGGUUGCAGUGACCCCUGCAUUGUCUGGGAAUGUGACUGGAGUGCCCAGUCAGUGGAUGCAGUGUCCCACAAGGUCUAUGCAGUAUGUUAUGACGGAUGAUGCAGUUCUCAUGAAUGUGGAUGCAGUGUCCCUGCAGUGCUUGCUGUGCCACUCGCAUUGUCCAGGAAUGUGGAUGCAGUAGUAUUGCAAUGGAUGCAGUGUCACACAAGGUGGAUGCCGUAUUUUGUGAUGGAGGAUGCAGGGGCCAUGAAGGUGGAUGCAGUGAUCUGGCACGGAUUGCACUGCACACUGCUGUGACCCUGAAUGUGGAUGCUGUGAACAUGCAGUGGAUGCAGUGAUCCUGCAGUGAUUGCAGUGCACCUGCAUUUCCACAUCAGCUGGAAGCAGUGUCCCUGCAGUGGUUGCAGUGCCACCUUCUGUGUUCCUGAACGUGAAUGCAGUGCCCAUGCAGUGGAGGCAGUGUACCUAAAGAUUUAUGCAGUAUGUUGUGACGGAGGAUGCAGUGUGCAUGAAGGCGGAUGCAGUGUCCCUGCAGUGGUUGCAGGGUCCCCAGCAUUGUGCUGGAAUGUGGAUGCAGGGAUGAUGCAGUGGAUGCAGUUUCUCACAAGGUGGAUGCAGUAUGUUUAGUCAGAGGAUGCAGUGCCCAUGAAGGUGGAUG